rnacentral:sRNA from 1 species
AACUAAACCUGAUAAAAGCGGCAGCUCCCGAUCUCACCAACAACAAAACAGCACUACCAUCGGGACUAAAGCGGUUAGCAGGGCUGCAC